UCCCCCCCACUAGUCUCUCUCCCCUCGCUUUUGUUCUCCCAGUCCCAUUCAGCCGUCGCUGCCGAGAGCACCGGAGCCAGUCGGUCGGGAACCCGCGAGCCACCGCAGAGCAGCGGACUCGCAUCACGCAGAAUCCACCUCCGUCCGGUCGCCACAUGCUCAGCGCAGUCCGCACAGAGGAUACGCGGCACUCCGUAGUUACAUAACGGGACUACUUCUUUUUUUUUUCUGUCAUUGUUGGGGCUUUUUUGUGUCACGCUUUCUCUUUUCAUCGCACCCCCCUCCCAGGGUCUCAAGUCAAAAUGGAGAACGACGACAAGUACCUCCCCGAGCUGCUGGCGGAGAAGGACAGUCUGGACUCGUCCUUUACGCACGCCAUGAAACUUUUAAACGCAGAAAUUGAUAGAAUCCAGAAAGGCGAGACUAAAAAGGAGGCAGAAGCGUACCUGGACCUUUUCACAACAAAGAACAUCAAACUUAAGGAACGAGUGCUCAUACCUGUCAAACAGUACCCGAAGUUCAAUUUUGUGGGCAAGAUUUUGGGACCUCAGGGCAACACAAUCAAACGGCUACAGGAAGAGACUGGAGCCAAGAUCUCUGUGCUGGGCAAAGGAUCCAUGAGAGACAAAACCAAGGAGGAGGGGCUGAGGAAAGGCGGCGAGCCCAAGUACGCACACUUGUCCAUGGAGCUGCACGUGUUCAUCGAGGUGUUUGCCCCUGUGCCGGACGCCUACCUGCGUAUGGCCCACGCCAUGGAGGAGGUCAAGAAGUUCCUGUUCCCAGAUAUGAUGGAUGAUAUCUGCCAAGAGCAGUUCAUGGAGAUGAGCUAUCUGAACGGAGGCCAGGAGCACGUAGCCCGAGGUCGGGGGGGCAUGCCGGUCAGGGGCCGUGGGAUCCCUCCUGCUGGAGCACACAGGGGUAGGGGAAUGCCUCCUCGCGGAGCUGCCCCCAGGGGAGGUGUGAGUCGAGGUGGCCCAGUGAGAGGCGCCCCGGGAGGCCGAGGAGGACCCCCUGCAGCACCUGCCAGAGGAGCUGUGGCCCCCCGCGCCAGGCCCCCAGCUGCUGGACCUCCCCAGAGGAUGGCCCCCCCUCACCAGCACUCAGCCACCACUGGCGCCGAGAGCUACGAUGAAUAUGGCUACGACGAGAGCUACACAGACACGACCUACGAGUCAUACGACAGCUAUUACAGUCAGCCGCAGGCAGAGCCAGAAUACUUUGACUACGGACACGGAGAGACCACAGACUCGUACGAGUCGUAUGGCCAGGAUAGCUGGAACGGGACCCAGCAAUUAGGUCAAGGGAAGGCCCCUCCCCCCUCCAGAGGUGCCAAGACGCCUUACCGGGAGCACCCAUACAGACAGUACUGAAGCCGACUCGCCGCCCCUAACGUGUCGCCCUGACUACCGCCUGUCUCCCACGGCAGCUCUUGCUUUAAGCAGCCCGACAAAAGCACAGCCGUCGGUCACUGAGUGCCCAGAGAAUGACAGUCUGCUGAAGUGAGACCAUACAAAGCUCAGGGAGACCGUGCACGGGAGCAGCUCAUCAUGAAGGAGGUGGUUGGACAACGCUCUCUGGGCGCCCCGUUGAAAGGAGUGGCCUGAAGCCCAUUUCUGUUCCUGGAUGGGGAGGGGGUUUGGUGUGGUGGCCGACUGCCAACUGACCCACAGGUGCCAGCUGGCCCAGACUCCCACUGAAAAGGACUGAGGCUGCAGCUGGUCAGCGAAGACACUCCGCUCAGUGGGAACCCAGAAUAACCACAGACUGACAAACAGCUCCCAUUCUGCGUGGACUGUUUUCCAAUGUUUCUACAUUUCAUGACAAUAUUGAAGUACCGUGCAUUAUCCUCGUGUAAUUAUUUUCGAACAUUGAAUACACCCACUUGAAGCCUUUGCUGGUGGCACGCUGCCGUACAGUUUCCCGCGGACCACCCCCUCUUCCAACAAAUGUAAUUGUUACAGCCUAAUUUACCAUAAAAUGAGCACUCCUCUUAUAGUCAGCUGUGAAAUUGUUUUUAAUUUCUAUUAACACUUGAAUUAAAUGUGAAUCCAAUUCUUGGACUUUUUGCAAGACAAGCUGCAUUCAAGAAGAAUCGCGUGACAUCUGCAUUUUAAGUAUUUAAAUUAAAAUUAAACUCCAGGAUUCAGAGUUAAAGAUGCACAGAGAGUGCAGAUCACUAUCUUGCUACAAACGUUCACUGCAAGCUCACGUACGCCGCCACAUCUUCGCACUGCACGGCCUGUGAAGCCCUAAGGAUAUCAAAUGCUAAAGCAUCGUCCCAUUUGCAUGUACUCGCAUGUGCCCUCCUUGCAAAUGUGCAACACUUUCAUAACCAACGCUGGACUGUUCUCAGCGUUUUCGCAUCCAAGUAUGAUAAUUGAGCAAGAUGGAGCUGUGGGGAGGGCCGCUUGUGAGAAAGGGACAGAGGGCGAAGACAGACUUUACUUACUUCCCUUCAUCUAUCCAUCAUGCCUCUGUUGAUCUGAUUCCCCUCCAUGCCAUUUUCUGCCAUUAUCACGGAUAUUACAGCCGCCGCUGGUGCUGAGUUACAUUGGAGGUCAAAACUGUACUUUCCUGUAUUAAAAACAAAUCUCUUUGUCCCGAUCCACUGGUCAGAGGCAGCAUUAGCCAAGUCAGAGGCUCCAUUUAGUGUAUUAAAAAAAAAGAUAACAGCUUAGAGGAUAGAGCAUUAGAUAUUAGGAACGGGCAACCGGCACGUAUCAUUUUUCAGCCUUUAUAUACUAUUAUGUCCAAAAUAAUGAUUUCUUUGUCUCCAAUAAUUUAAUGAAGGAUAAGCGAUGGUGUGGUAUCCGUCUCCUUUGUUUGAAUCGAUGAACUGUCAAGAGCGUAAAGGGUGAAAAAGAAAGUAAAUGUUACUGUGCAAUGAUCAAUAAAAGCAGACUUGGAUAUGA